GAUGAACGCUGGCGGCGUGCUUAACACAUGCAAGUCGAACGGAAAGGCUCCUGCUUGCAGGGGUACUCGAGUGCCGAACGGGUGAGUAACACGUGGGGGAUCUGCCCUGCACUUCGGGAUAAGCCUGGGAAACUGGGGCUAAUAUAGGAGAGGACCACAUUUUGGGUGGGGUGGUGGAAAGAUUUUCGGUGUGGGAGGGGCUCGUGGCUUAUCAGGUUGUUGGUGGGGUAAUGGCCUAGCAAGGCGUCGACGGGUAGCCGGCCUGAGAGGGUGUACGGCCACAUUGGGACUGUAAUGCGGCCCAGACUACGACGGGAGGCAGCAGGGGGGAAUAUUGGACAAUGGGCCGAAGCCUGAUGCAGCGAGGCCGCGUGGGGGAUGACCGCCUUUAGGUUGUAAACUCCUUUCGCUAGGGACCAAGGCUUGUUGUGACGGUACCUGGAGAAGAAGCACCGGCUAACUACGUG
rnacentral:rRNA from 1 species